rnacentral:rRNA from 1 species
UACGUAGGGUGCGAGCGUUAAUCGGAAUUACUGGGCGUAAAGCGUGCGCAGGCGGUUAUGCAAGACAGAUGUGAAAUCCCCGGGCUCAACCUGGGACCUGCAUUUGUGACUGCAUAGCUAGAGUACGGUAGAGGGGGAUGGAAUUCCGCGUGUAGCAGUGAAAUGCGUAGAUAUGCGGAGGAACACCGAUGGCGAAGGCGACUUUCUGGACUGUAACUGACACUGAGGCUCGAAAGCGUGGGGAGCAAACAGG